GAUGAACGCUGGCGGCGUGCCUAAUACAUGCAAGUCGAGCGAACGGACGAGAAGCUUGCUUCUCUGAUGUUAGCGGCGGACGGGUGAGUAACACGUGGAUAACCUACCUAUAAGACUGGGAUAACUUCGGGAAACCGGAGCUAAUACCGGAUAAUAUUUAGAACCGCAUGGUUCAAAAGUGAAAGACGGUGUUGCUGUCACUUAUAGAUGGAUCCGCGCUGCAUUAGCUAGUUGGUAAGGUAACGGCUUACCAAGGCAACGAUGCAUAGCCGACCUGAGAGGGUGAUCGGCCACACUGGAACUGAGACACGGUCCAGACUCCUACGGGAGGCAGCAGUAGGGAAUCUUCCGCAAUGGGCGAAAGCCUGACGGAGCAACGCCGCGUGAGUGAUGAAGGUCUUCGGAUCGUAAAACUCUGUUAUUAGGGAAGAACAUAUGUGUAAGUAACUGUGCACAUCUUGACGGUACCUAAUCAGAAAGCCACGGCUAACUACGUG
rnacentral:rRNA from 1 species